CUAAAAACAGGAGUUCCGGUUUGGGGUUAUGUGACCUGGAUACUGUAAACAACUUUUCAGAUCAUGAGUUUGGUAAUUUUAAUCUUCGGACACAAGGAUGACGACAAUUAAGAGUCCAUCAAUGGUUGUGAAAUCAAAGAUAUUCUAUUGGAAGGAAAGACAUGAAUGCAUUCAAGUUUCCUGUGAGCAAUAUGAUUUCCUGACUUUGCCUUACAGUAUAAAACAAGAGAGUUAAACACUUGAAACUUGAAAAGAUGUGGUCCUAGAACCUGAAAUGGCAACUCCAGCUCUCUACAAAAGCAUCAUCUGGAAUCCAACUAUGUACAAUCAAAAAAUUAAUGUGUGUCUUAAUUUUGUCUUUUUAGAGCCCUGACGGGUCUUAAGAUAUCAGAUGUUUUAAAUUUCAUUGUGUUUGUGCUGCAAGUUUUAUGAACUGGUUAUAAAGCUUAUGUAUGAAGAACCGUUUACUGCCUGGUUAGCUGCAGUAGAGCACUCAUAGGAAUUGGGAGAUCUGUGGAAUCCCUUUGUGGCUUGCAAAUUUCAACCUGUUUUCAAAAAUUGCUUAGUUGGUCAGUGUGUUAAUAUUUCAAUUUUCAGGUCUGGUAAAGAAAGUUAUUUAAAGGCAAUGUGCAAGGUUUUCCUUAAUAAUAGCAUGUACACAGGAAAAAAAAGCUUAAUAUUAGAUAUUUUGUUAUAAUCAGUUUGUGGUCCGUCCAUAGCUAAACAUGAACAUAGAUAUUUUUUACUUUUAUUAGUACUAUAUACAUAUUAUAAAUAAAAGGUUGUAUCUUGCAUCUUCUAAUCCUUAAAGUGGCAUGGUGGCCUAGUGUGUGUGUUGUUUAUCUAUGAAAUUUAUACAUGUAUACUAAUAUCUAGGCUACAUUAUGAUGUACUACUCAAAGAACAGUAUGUUUAAAAUGCAUGUUUAUACUAAUUUAAAUACAGGUACAAAUUAAUCCUGUGUUGUAUAUAGCAGAAUGUCCCUUAUUUUCACUGUUAUCUUUUAAAACUGUUCAGGUACACUUCACCUGCAUAAAACUAGUUCAGAUAUAUAUGUCCCAUAGAGCAAAACAAUUGUCACUAAAUCAUUGUAUAAUCGUUAUUGGCAGUUCACUUCUGUAGUUUCUGAAAUGAAAAAUUGUUGUUACCUACCUUCACUCUUAAUUCAGUUUUAGUAGAAUGCUUAAUUUCAUUUUUUUUUCUUUAUUAGUUGUAAGUAGUGGGCUCUGUGUUCUGAUUAGUUCCUAAAUUGAACACAUGUUUAAACGUCGGUUGUUAAAUUGUAUAACAUGUUAAUGCAGAAUUGUACCAUAACAUGAAAUUGUAUUUUUAACCAGGUUUUCCGAAGGAAAAAACUGGUUAUUAGAUUGGCGAAUGCGGGCGGGCUGGCGGGCUGGCUGGCUGGCUGGCGGGCUGGCGGAAUAAGCUUGUCCGGGCCAUAACUAUGUCGUUCAUUGUCAGAUUUAAAAUCAUUUGGCACAUUUGUUCACCAUCAUUGGACGGUGUGUCGCGCGAAAUAAUUACAUCGAUAUCUCCAAGGUCAAGGUCACACUUUGAGUUCAAAGGUCAAAAAUGGCCAUAAAUGAGCUUGUCCUGGCCAUAACUAUGUCAUUCAUUGUGAGAUUUUAAAAUCAUUUGGCACAUUUGUUCACCAUCAUGGGACGGUGUGUCCCACGAAAGAAUCACGUCAAUAUCUCCAAUGUCAAGGUCGCCACGACUAAAAAUAGAUUUAAAAAAAAAAAAAAACUUACAAAGGGGGUUUAUUUUUUUUGGUCAUUUCAAAAGUUCAGUUUGAGUUUUCUCCCUUUAUCAGAUUUUUUUUUCACAAUGAAAACCUGGUUUUGUGACAAUUGUGUCCCUUGUUUGCUUUGUACAUUGUUUGAAAUGUUACCAUCUUAUUUCUAAUAAAUGUUUUUUAUAAUUCACCAUCUAGUCCUAUUUGCAAAAAAGUGAACCAUUUAAAUAUUGUAUUUUAAGUAUACACCCGUUAGCCUUACUUAAGUCGUGAACAUUUCGUAGGCAUUUGUUAUCCCCAGUAAUAGGCGGAGGGAUAUUGUUUUGGCGCUGUUUGUCCGUCCUUCCGUCCGUCCGGCACUUUUGUGUCCAGAGCCAUAUCUUGUUAGUGCUUUAGCGGAUUUCAUUGAAACUUGGUAUGAGUAUAUUAUAUGGAUAAGAGGAUGAUGUGCACUUUGUAUCUUGAAAAAAAUGCUUUUUAAUAUAAUCUUAGAGCUUUAUCUUCACUAACACAUGAGCCAGAGCCAUGAAACUUGCCAUAGUUGUUCUCAAUCAUCUAGGGGUGCUUCACAUUCAACAUCCAUAAUUCUAGGGGCUAAGGUCAUGGCCCUUUGUAUCUUGAAAAAAAUGCUUUUUGAUAGAAGCUUAGAGCUUUAUCUUCAUUAACACAUGAGCCAGAGCCAUGCAACUUUCUAUAGUUAUUCCAAUCAUCUGGGGUUGUUUCACAUUCAACACCCAUAAUCAUAGGGGCUAAGGUCAAGGUCACACAUUGAGGUCAAAGGUCACAAAUUUGAGGAAUUAUUCAUUGAUUGGUAAUUCCUUUACUAUGCAUCAAGGAAUUCUGUUAUAACUGUCACAAUUGUUCUCAAUUAUCUAGCUGAGUUUCAAAUAUAAGAUCCAGGUUGCUAGGGUCAUGGUCAAAGUCACACACAAAGGUCAAAAUCACACAUUUUGAUCAUAUAUAUAUAUAUAUAUAUAUAUAUAUAUAUAUAUAUUAAAACUCAGACCCCACAUAGAUUGCAACCGUCAAUAUUUUCUACACCGAAGUACCAUUAAAAGACCAGUAUUGUUAGUGAGUAUGCACAUUAAGAUCUUAUGCUGAAUGUUCAGUUGGAGUAUGAAUGCUAUUCCAACCACUAUUUCACUUUUAAAAUAUGUAACCACCAAUUGCGAGUCCGCAUGCAAAGAUGUAUUGUAUUUAUUAAAUUUAGAAUUUCUAAAUUCUGGAUAUUAUUUAGAGUAGCAGCAUUCUCAACAUUUCUUACACAAAUUUUAUUCUGUUAAUAAGACGUGUAUAGUAUAGUGCAGGUUAUAAUCUGUUUUUAAAACUAUUAUAUCUAAACAUGUAAUAUACUUUUGUAUUAUUGCAUAAAAAUAGUCAUGUAUUAGUUUUAAUACAUUUUAAAAGUACAUAGGUGACACUGUAUCAUUUACUGAUGUUUUUAUCAGUGUAAAUAAUGAAUAACAUGUAUGUACAUUAAGGUCCCUUAUAAGUCUUUUGUUGAACGGUCAUAUAGAAUGCAAUGUAUCUAUUUUAUGAAUGUUGAAAGACAUUUGUACAAUACAUUGUAUAUAGACUGGGACUAUAACAAUGAACUAAAAUUGAUUGCUAAAACAUUUGAAUGAAGUUGAAGAAAGGUAACUCUUUAGGGCUUAAAAAUGGUUGGCAAUAUGGUUCGAGUUACUUCCCUUCAAGCUUACGUAUGGCUAGCAAUUUUACUUAAUACAUUUUGAAAACUGAUUUUAAGUUGAUAUUACAUUGGAGAUUUAUAUUAUCACCAUGAUUCAUCUUAAUCAAGGAAUGACCAUGGUAAUUGGAAGAUCUUUUAAGAUGUGUAAUUGUUUGCGCAAUAAUGCAUUUUGUAAUGACUGGCACUAUAUUGGAAGUGUAUGGCAUUCUUGAUAGGGUCGGUGGUGGUAAUGUAGUUUUUACCAUGUAUAGUCAUGAUAGUCAUGUAACGUACAUUGAUAAGCGUUGAAUAAGUCUCUUAUAAUUCCUUUCAUGAAUGGCCAAUGUUGUAUCUAUAGCUUUAUGUUUUAUAUAUGCAUUGUGAAAAUUGUAAAUAUUGGAUGAGACUAUAAUAAACUAUAAAACGUG